rnacentral:rRNA from 1 species
CUCGGCCUUCAGUUAAUGUUCACGGUCAAGAACCUGAGUCACUUAAAAAUCUAGUGACCUACUGGGCUCUAGCUUGUUUAGUUAACUCUAUUAUGCGAAGUGAUCUGUAGCGUCAUAGUAAGCAUAGCAGUCGUAUGCAUCCGUCGAGAAUCGCAUCAUGCAGUGCUACCCUCUAGUGACGCACUUCUUUGUUGAUAUACUCUUAUGAUGUAUGGUGUGUACCCCUGAGUGAUAUAUAUCUCUUAUCACAAGAUAUCUCGUCUCUCACAUAGAUGAGAAGCACACAGUGAUGUGAUAUAUGAUGUGAAAUGCACAGAUUACAGUGUCAUAGCGUCUCUAGCGCGCACUGCGCACCUUGUUAUAUCACAAGAUACGCGCGUGUGAGAGUCACGUGAACAUCUCACUCCACAUCUUCACAUAUACACAUAUAUAUAGUUGUGAUAUAGAUAUGGAGAGCUGCGCUAAAAUGUGUCACACUAAAUAUAUAAAUGCUCUUAUAGAAGAGAUAUAAAGAUAUAUACUCACAGUGAUAUAUACUAUACACUGAGGAGAGUGUGUAGUCACAACAUGUGUGUGAUGUGCACACACACAUUAACACAUAAUAUAUAGAGUCUCAAAUCUAUAUAUAUAACCAUAUAUAUAACCCAUUUUUUAGACCUCAAAUCAGGUGGGACUACCCGCUGAACUUAAGCAUAUCAAUAAGCGGAGGAAAAGAAACUAACAAGGAUUCCCCUAGUAACGGCGAGUGAAGAGGGAAAAGCCCAAAUUUGUAAUCUGGCUCUUUUAUAAGGGUCCGAGUGUAACUUGAGAUAGCUUA